GUUGUGAUAGAAAGUAAGGCCCGGGAGGAGUUAUCCGAAACUAGUGUACUGGUGGGGGCCGUGACUGUGAUCAAGUUCUGGAAUGGGUCUGAAACUGGUGUCCCGGUGUGGGUUGAAGUUUUGGGCAGGUGUGGGGUCAGGGUACCGGCGAGGGUCGCAAAUGGAACCAGGCCUGGGGUCCGGGUCGAGUCUGAAACUAGGGUCGGGGUCGAGAUUAUGGUCAGAGGCGGGAUUCCGGGCGAAGAAAAAUAAUCUGAUGUAGUCAAGUCCGGUGGCGUAACUGCAAUCGUUGAAAAUGACUGUCCCGUCCAGGAAGCUGAUAAUCCCAAUGUACAAUCGCUUAUAAUACCAAUCCUUGACUCCCGAAGCAGCCGGCAGUCAAAUGUGGGGUUGCCUCGCACGUCAAUACGUUGCAAGUUCGGGAAAGACAACAAAAGCCUGGUUAUAUUGAAAUUAACAAGGCGGUUACGCUUCAAGUCAAUCACUAUGACCCAUUCUCUUUUGCCUGUUACCAGGUGAUCAAUAUUCUCCAGUCGCUCGUUAGAACACUCCAGUAAUCCAAAAUUGACAAUCUCGCGACAAAAUGGGGUGCUUCCAUGUACAAGAAGUAAAACGCAAAACACAACAGAAAACAUUUCGUAGAUCUGUCUAAAUUCCAAGUGAAAUAUAUCCUUUCAUGUAUACGAAUAAAUACUGAUCUAAACUACGUACGCUAAUGAACCGGAUAAGCACUCUGAAAGCUAUGCAUAAAGCGUGAGAAGACAGCGGUCAUAGCUCAGCUUAUCUUGAAAUUGAACUAUAAUAAUCCUUCCUUUCAAACAUGCG